rnacentral:rRNA from 1 species
GUAGCGGCGAGUGAAGCGGCAAAAGCUCAAUUUGAAAUCUGGCACCUUCGGUGUCCGAGUUGUAAUUUGAAGAUUGUAACCUUGGGGUUGGCUCUUGUCUAUGUUUCUUGGAACAGGACGUCACAGAGGGUGAGAAUCCCGUGCGAUGAGAUGCCCAAUCCUAUGUAAGGUGCUUUCGAAGAGUCGAGUUGUUUGGGAAUGCAGCUCUAAGUGGGUGGUAAAUUCCAUCUAAAGCUAAAUAUUGGCGAGAGACCGAUAGCGAACAAGUACAGUGAUGGAAAGAUGAAAAGAACUUUGAAAAGAGAGUGAAAAAGUACGUGAAAUUGUUGAAAGGGAAGGGUUUGAGAUCAGACUCGAUAUUUUGUGAGCCUUGCCUUCGUGGCGGGGUGACCCGCAGCUUAUCGGGCCAGCAUCGGUUUGGGCGGUAGGAUAAUGGCGUAGGAAUGUGACUUUGCUUCGGUGAAGUGUUAUAGCCUGCGUUGAUGCUGCCUGCCUAGACCGAGGACUGCGAUUUUAUCAAGGAUGCUGGCAUAAUGAU